GUGUCUUCACCAUGACUUGGAAUCCACUACUCCUCAUUGUCCUUCAUCAUUUAACAGGGACAUGUGCCCAGUUUGUGCUAACUCAGCCAAACUCUGUGUCUGGGUCUCUUGGGAGCACAGUCACCAUCUCCUGCAAACGCAGCAGUGGUAAUUUUGAAAGCAGCUAUGUGAACUGGUUCCAGCAGCACAUUGGAAGUCCACCCACCAAUGUGAUCUAUCAGCACAAUAAAAGACCAUCUGGGAUUCCUGAUAGAUUCUCUGGCUCCAUUGACAGCUCCUCCAACUCAGCCUCGCUGACCAUCACUGAUCUGCAGACUGAGGAUGAGGGUGACUACUACUGCCAGUCUUAUGAUGGUGACUAUAGACACAGUGAUAAGAAUCAUGGGGAAGUUUUUCUAUCCUGCCACUUGGUGGAGCCCAAGUCCUCUGCAUGUGUAGUCUUUCCACUUCAUCACACCCAAACUGAAGUAAAAGGAGGGGAUUUUACAUCCCAUGGAAGAGGGAUAUUUGCAUGGAAACAGCCUGCACUUAGAAUCACAGAGCCAGAUAAAAGGGGUAGCCAGCUUCAGUCAAUCCAUUGA